UCUGGGGAAAAGGAGCCCUGACGUUUUCAACAGAGAAAGUAAAAUGAUUAGGACCGUGAGAUAAUAAACCUUCUUUCAGCUCCUACUUUCAGAUGAGAGGCUGGUCACAGAGGCUGGGGGCAGUCUGUUAAGGGUGAGGUGACCAGUUUGGUGGGGGGUGGGCAUUUAAGGAUGAGGAUCAAAUGAUUUUGGCAGUCAGUGACAAACAAUAACGAUCCUUUCAACAUGAACUGCCGCCGCCCUCCCCCCACCCCCGCAUCAUGUCCACCUCAAAGAAACAGUGGACAGGGUGUACUUUCCAAAAUACUGCCAUUUAAUGCUGAAAAACACAAAUGCUAGAGGCCCAGAGCAGCCCAUGUGACUGGAUCGCCUGCAACCUGCCUUGGGCCCCAGAAGAACCCUGCAAGGUCAGGCUCCUCCCUGCUCUGCCUGCAGAGCUUCCUUAUCGGCCUGAGUUGGAGCUGCUGACUCUGCUCCAAGAGCAAGAUUUCUGCUUUGAAAGCAAAUGCAGCAGCCUGAGAAAUGGGCAGUACAUACCUUACAUACCCCUCUCCCGGCCCCUGGUGUACAGAGCUGGAGUAAAGGUGUUUCUAGAUCAAUCUGCACAGCUCCUGACCUCUUCCCAGGCCUGAGGUCAGGGCUCGGGAAGACCUGUGACCUUGGCUACACAGAAACUCCUUGUGGGCCCUUUCCCCACCCAGAUCUUACCGGAGAGACAUUGUUUUGCAUACAAUGCAUUGAUUUACCCGGAAAUGGAUGACCUCUUACUCCCUAACCAGGGUCAGAGAGAAGGGAGAUAAAGCAGUUUGGGCUCUAAGGUCAGUCAGUUGGUCUGUCUGUCUGAGAAGAAAAGGAAUGAGGGAGGUCAGGGAUGAGGCAGCACUUGGGUUUGGGGGUUACACAACGGCCUGAGGUUUGCUCACUUCUGCCUCCUGCCUAUGCCAGGAUCAGAGUUUUCUCUGCUUUCUCUUUAUUGGGCUCUUUUGUCCAGCAGAAGCACUAGAGUUGCUUGAAGAAGUAGCCUGUGGGCUGCAUACCUGCCAAAGGGUUGGGACCAGAAUAACCUUUUCCUGUCUAUAAAUUUAGGUGUCUGGAGACACAGAUGGAAAGGUAGAAAGAUAAAGCCAGCGAUUCAGGGAGGAGAGGCUCCUCUGGGAUCUGAGGUUCAGGAACCAGGUGUUUCCAGGUGCUUUCAUGUAUUUGUGGGCUGGAGGAAAAGGGGUACACCUCCCAGAAGGGGGGCCAGUGAGCCCAGAGGUAGCCAAACAGAUAGACCUAAUCUCUGCUACUCCUCUCCGAUCUCCCCACAGGGAGCCAGGUCCCUGGCCUAAUCUCCACAUCUCUUAUCUUCCAGAGGCUUUGGUCUGACUCCCAGCACAAGGGCUGUGUUUUAUUGGGGAAGAUUGCUCUCUGGGGAGCUGGAGGAAAUGAAGGCCUGGG
rnacentral:lncRNA from 1 species